rnacentral:SRP_RNA from 1 species
UAUGUAAAAGCUUGUGAGAGAAGUGAUUGUAUGAGCGCGCCCGCUUCAAGGUGGGAGCCAGUGAUGACGUGGCUGAUAAUGUUGCGUCAGGCGAGUAACCGAGCAUCGCUACAGCUCCAGCUCUCGCCAGUGAAGUGAUCACGCGCUCUUUUUAAUUGAUCAGCAGAGCUCAAGAUUUACAUG